rnacentral:rRNA from 1 species
GGCCUAAACAUGCAAGUCGAGCGGCAGCGGGAAAGUAGCUUGCUACUUUUGCCGGCGAGCGGCGGACGGGUGAGUAAUGCCUGGGAAAUUGCCCAGUCGAGGGGGAUAACAGUUGGAAACGACUGCUAAUACCGCAUACGCCCUACGGGGGAAAGCAGGGGACCUUCGGGCCUUGCGCGAUUGGAUAUGCCCAGGUGGGAUUAGCUUGUUGGUGAGGUAAUGGCUCACCAAGGCGACGAUCCCUAGCUGGUCUGAGAGGAUGAUCAGCCRCACUGGAACUGACACACGGUCCAKACUCCUACKGGAGGCAGCAGUGGGGAAUAUUGCACAAUGGGGGAAACCCUGAUGCMR